CUGUGUGUUGACACACUGUGUGUCUGGAUUGUGUGUUGACACACUGUGUGUCUAGAUUGUGUGUUGACACACUGUGUGUCUGGAUUGUGUGUUGACACACUGUGUGUCUAGAUUGUGUGUUGACACACUGUGUGUCUGGAUUGUGUGUUGACACACUGUGUGUCUGGAUUGUGUGUUGACACACUGUGUGUCUAGAUUGUGUGUUGACACACUGUGUGUCUGGAUUGUGUGUUGACACACUGUGUGUCUAGAUUGUGUGUUGACACACUGUGUGUCUGGAUUGUGUGUUGACACACUGUGUGUCUGGAUUGUGUGUUGACACACUGUGUAUCCGGAUUGUGUAUAGACACAUAGUGUGUCUGGAUUGUGUGUUGACACACUGUGUGUCUGGAUUGUGUGUUGACACGCUGUGUGUCUGGAUUGUGUGUUGACACACUGUGUCUGGAUUGUGUGUUGACACAUAGUGUGUCUGGAUUGUGUGUUGACACACUGUGUGUCUGGAUUGUGUGUUGACACAUAGUGUGUCUGGAUUGUGUGUUGACACACUGUGUCUAGAUUGUGUGUUGACACACUGUGUGUCUGGAUUGUGUGUUGACACAUAGUGUGUCUGGAUUGUGUGUUGACACACUGUGUGUCUGGAUUGUGUGUUGACACAUAGUGUGUCUGGAUUGUGUGUUGACACGCUGUGUAUCUGGAUUGUGUGUGGACACACUGUGUGUCUGGAUUGUGUAUAGACACAUAGUGUGUCUGGAUUAUGUGUUGACACGCUGUGUGUCUGGAUUGUGUGUGGACACGCUGUGUAUCUGGAUUGUGUGUGGACACACUGUGUGUCCGGAUUGUGUAUAGACACAUAGUGUGUCUGGAUUGUGUGUUGACACAUUGGGUCUGGAUUGUGUCUCUGGAUUGUGUGUUGACACUGAUAUUAUGUGUCUGGAAUGUGUGGUGAUGCAUUGUGUGUCUGUUAUGCAUGACCACAAUAUUGUGUGUCUGGAAUGUGUGUAGACAUAUUGUCCAAAUUGGGAAAAUCAAUAUUUAUACAUUCUGUAGGCCACAUGUAUUUGGCGAGCUGACCUACACCUGGAACAUAUCAAAAUUAGAAUUUAUGAUUAUAUAAGGAAAUUGGUUGAUGUUUAAUUUAAGAUUAAUAAGCUGUCAUUUGGAACAUGGUUGUUGUUGAAGUUAUAUGGAUUAGUAUUGAUGUGCUGAAUUAUUUCAGGAUGUGGCUAAUGUGAAAUUAGGUUUGAUGAGUGGACUUAUCCAUGAACAUGGUUGAUGUUAAAAUUAGGGUGAUGAUUGGACUUAUCCAUAAACAUGGUUGAGGAUAAAAUUAGGAUUGAUGAGUGGACUAAUCCAUGGACAUGGUUGAUUAUAAAAUUGGGAUUGUUGAGUGGACUUAUCCAUGGACAUGGUUGAUUAUAAAAUUAGGAUUGAUGAGUGGACUUAUCCAUGGACAUGGUUGAUUAUAAAAUUGGGAUUGUUGAGUGGACUUAUCCAUGGACAUGGUUGAUCAUAAAAUUAGGAUUGAUGAGUGGACUUAUCCAUGGACAUGGUUGAUUUUAAAAUUGGGAUUGUUGAGUGGACUAAUCCAUGAACGUGGUUGACUAUAAAAUUAGGAUUGAUGAGUGGACUUAUCCAUGGACAUGGUUGAUUAUAAAAUUGGGAUUGUUGAGUGGACUUAUCCAUGAACAUGGUUGAUGUAAAAAAUAAGGAUUGAUGAGUGAACUUAUCCAUGGACAUGGUUGAUUAUAAAAUUGGGAUUGUUGAGUGGACUUAUCCAUGAACAUGGUUGAUGUAAAAAAUAAGGAUUGAUGAGUGGACUUAUCCAUGAACAUGGUUGAUGGUAUAAUUAGGAUUAAAAGCUGCCUUAUGAUCCAAAUGCUAGGAAGAUUGUUGAUGAAUGGGAGCCUGUCCUUAAUGGAGAGCUGGUACAAUAGUUACUGGUUGCAACAUGAACAAAAGGGAUGGUAUUGUUUUAUAGUGAUGAUUUGCUCAGUCAUAAUUUAGUGUAGAAGGAGUGUGAGAAUAUGUUGCAUGUUUUAUACCGAUUUGUAUUCCAGAUAACCUUUUUUUGUUGGUUGCAUGUGAAUGUUUGUUUGGGAUGCAGCACGCCAAUCAAGCAACGGAAAAUCUUACAAUGAUAUUACCAUGAUAACAGGAGCGGCUUUAUCAUGACAGAAACUUUUACUCAUGUUAAAAUCAAACAUUGCCUUUUACAGGACUGUGGUCACUGUGUUCUGUUGUUAAAACUGUUUUGUGUGAGUGAUGAGUUGACACUGCACACCCAUAGUACUAGUAUACUACGUGGAUGAAAUGUGCAGGCCUAAAAUAUGUUCUUUCACAUAGAUGUGCCACACAUUCAUAAGAUUUAUACUACAUAAUUUGUACCUAUCAGAUGUGCCAUACUGUAUUACCUAUAUACCACACCCAUCAAAUGUGCUUCCUGAUCUAAUCUGUGUUACAUUAUUUUUGUUUGUACUAAUGACAUUUUAUCUUAUCUAGAGAAGCAAGAUGCUGUGCAUGUAUUGUAUAAAGAUCACAAGAAAUCUUCCAGGGUAGUGGUCUGUCCUGUGUUGUACAGGCAACUUGAGACGUGACAACCUCCAGUGGGAGGUCUGUGUUGUACAGGCAACCUGAGAUGUGACACCCUCCAGGGUAGAGAUCUGUCCUGUGUUGUACAGGCAACUUGAGAUGUGACACCCUCCAGGGUAGAGAUCUGUCCUGUGUUGUACAGGCAACCUGAGAUGUGACACCCUCCAGGGUAGAGAUCUGUCCUGUGUUGUACAGGCAACUUGAGAUGUGACACCCUCCAGGGUAGAGAUCUGUCCUGUGUUGUACAGGCAACCUGAGAUGUGACACCCUCCAGGGUAGUGGUCUGUCCUGUGUUGUACAGGCAACUUGAGAUGUGACACCCUCCAGGGUAGAGAUCUGUCCUGUGUUGUACAGGCAACUUGAGAUGUGACACCCUCCAGGGUAGUGGUCUGUCCUGUGUUGUACAGGCAACCUGAGGUGUGACACCCUCCAGGGUAGUGGUCUGUCCUGUGUUGUACAGGCAACCUGAGGUGUGACACCCUCCAGGGUAGUGGUCUGUCCUGUGUUGUACAGGCAACUUGAGGUGUGACACCCUCCAGGGUAGUGGUCUGUCCUGUGUUGUACAGGCAACUUGAGAUGUGACACCCUCCAGGGUAGAGGUCUGUGUUGUACAGGCAACAUGAGAUGUGACACCCUCCAGGGUAGUGGUCUGUCCUGUGUUGUACAGGCAACUUGAGGUGUGACACCCUCCAGGGUAGUGGUCUGUCCUGUGUUGUACAGGCAACUUGAGAUGUGACACCCUCCAGGGUAGAGAUCUGUCCGGUGUUGUACAGGCAACCUAAGAUGCGACACCCUCCAGGGUAGAGGUCUGUGUUGUACAGGCAACCUGAGGUGUGACACCCUCCAGGGUAGUGGUCUGUCCUGUGUUGUACAGGCAACUUGAGAUGUGACACCCUCCAGGGUAGAGUCUGUGUUGUACAGGCAACAUGAGAUGUGACACCCUCCAGGGUAGUGGUCUGUCCUGUGUUGUACAGGCAACUUGAGGUGUGACACCCUCCAGGGUAGAGAUCUGUCCUGUGUAUUCAAGGUUUCAAGUGGCUCUUCCUUCAGCUGUGAGUUGAUGGGAAUAAAGUGUGUUUGUUAUCGUUGCGGAAUGUACUGUCCAGAUGCCGAGACACCAGGGCAGGUGAUGGACAGCUUGCUUUAUCAUGUUAAAGUGCUUUUACAGAUUUUAGCCAAUAUCAUUAGUGAUAUAUUGUUGUACUGUGCCAAGUAUGUAAUCAAAAUCCUCUAUGUAAUCAAGACUGUGUGAAUGUAGUAUUGUUGGUUUGAUAGUGAAUGAAAUAAACACCUGAACAUUGA